CGGGUCGUAAACCGCUUUCAGCAGGGAAGAGUCAAGACUGUACCUGCAGAAGAAGCCCCGGCUAACUACGUGCCAGCAGCCGCGGUAAUACGUAGGGGGCGAGCGUUAUCCGGAUUCAUUGGGCGUAAGCGCGCGUAGGCGGCCCGGCAGGCCGGGGGUCGAAGCGGGGGGCUCAACCCCCCGAAGCCCCCGGAACCUCCGCGGCUUGGGUCCGGUAGGGGAGGGUGGAACACCCGGUGUAGCGGUGGAAUGCGCAGAUAUCGGGUGGAACACCGGUGGCGAAGGCGGCCCUCUGGGCCGAGACCGACGCUGAGGCGCGAAAGCUGGGGGAGCGAACAGGAUUAGAUACCCUGGUAGUCCCCAGCCGUAAACGAUGGACGCUAGGUGUGGGGGGACGAUCCCCCGUGCCGCAGCCAACGCAUUAAGCGUCCCGCCUGGGGAGUACGGCCGCAAGGCUAAAAACUCAAAGGAAUUGACGGGG
rnacentral:rRNA from 1 species